AUGCAUUUUUAAAAAAAUACAUCACAGGUCAGAUCUGGAGAUUCAAAUACUAGUGAUGCUAAAGCUAUGCAUGAAUGUGAACAGACGAGAAGUUUCUGACAUUGCUCUGUAAUACCUCUCCCUUUACAAAACUUCUGCAGGUAAUAAAGGGGCCAUGGUUGGUGUCUUUGUUUCUGUUUUUAUAAUGAUGAUUGGAAUCACUAUUGGUGUGACAGUAUAUUCAAGGCGGGAUAGAAUUUGUAUUGGUUUAGGAUUUAGGUAAGUAUGACCACAAAACAUUACAGCUCAUUUAUAAUCAAAGUAAUAUGUCUGCAUUAUUCCAAAGUAGGAGUUUAUUGUCUUCAUACAUACUAUAACAUGCGCUGGUAAGGAUGUGUGAAGCUGAAGUAUUGUAACAUUUUCUUUCUAGUCAUUUAGAUGAUGACACAGGGGAUAUACUGAGUUUAGUGGAUUCAGAUGAAGAGGAAAUUUUCCAUGAAACUGAACUCCCUCCGCUGUCAAACGGACAUGCUACCACACUUGUAGAGAUUCACA
ensembl:lncRNA